GCCUGGGUGGCUCAGUCGGUUGAGCGUCUGACUUCGGCUCAGGUCAUGAUCUCGCGGUCUGUGAGUUCGAGUCCCGCGUCGGGCU
rnacentral:tRNA from 1 species